AUACGGAGGGUGCAAGCGUUACUCGGAAUCACUGGGCGUAAAGGACGCGUAGGCGGGUUUGUAAGUCAGGUGUGAAAUCCUACAGCUCAACUGUAGAACUGCACUUGAAACUACAGACCUAGUGUAUGGAAGGGGCAGAUGGAAUUAGUGGUGUAGGGGUAAAAUCCGUAGAUAUCACUAGGAAUACCGAAAGCGAAGGCGAUCUGCUGGGACAUUACUGACGCUGAGGAACGAAAGCGUGGGUAGCAAACAGGAUUAGAAACCCUAGUAGUCC
rnacentral:rRNA from 1 species